UACGAAGGGGGCGAGCGUUGUUCGGAAUUACUGGGCGUAAAGCGUGCGCAGGCGGUUUUGUAAGUCUGUCGUGAAAUCCCCGGGCUUAACCUGGGAAUGGCGAUGGAGACUGCAAGGCUAGAGUUUGGCAGAGGGGGGUAGAAUUCCACGUGUAGCAGUGAAAUGCGUAGAGAUGUGGAGGAACACCGAUGGCGAAGGCAGCCCCCUGGGUCAAAACUGACGCUCAUGCACGAAAGCGUGGGGAGCAAACAGG
rnacentral:rRNA from 1 species